GUUUGGUGUGAAUUAACAUGAAAGGCAAUUACAGACAGAAUAUGUCACUGUAUUUAUACCUUUGCUUUUUAUUUACAUGAUGUUUUGAAUAGCUGCUUUGCAAAGAAGCUUUCAUGUAUGGAAUUUCCCUUAAUACUGUCACUUGAAAGUCUGAAGUGCUGCUGUAGAUUUUGACAAACCUAUCAACAGGGGAAUGUUUGGUGCCAUUCAAUUAAUCUUGCCUCAUAUCUGUUACCCUUCUAAUCCGAGAGAACUGUUUUACUGUACUGGGAGAAGGGAGGGAGCACUGUCUUGGGAUCAUGGCUAACUCUGCACUGGUUUUCCCAGUCGAAAGAGUAGUGUCUGGGACACUUUCUCAGUUAUUUUCUGAAGAUCAGGUAAAAGUCAUGUUUUCUUUGAAAGUCUUCCUUUUUGUCCCAUGGAUUGCGAAUCUUGCUAUGAUCUAAGAGGCAGUGGUACCCUGCUUAGUUUUCUCAGCACUGUCACUCAUCCUACUGGGACUUCAGAACCUCUGGCAGUGGGCAGGAGAUAGGCUUUCUGCUUACCUUGCCUUACUUAUCUACUGUCUAGGGAAAGCAGGUGUCUUGCUUCCAGGGUUUAAAUUCCCUAGAAGGGGCCAUCUUCUGGGUACCCACGUCAGUUAUUGCUUAUUGUAUAUAUUUGUUAUGCAUUUGCUUAGCAUUUGUCUUUCUGGUAUACAGCUGUUACCAUCAAUGUUGACUUUAAAUCAAUUCCCUGUUGCUGACAAUGGCUGUAAUUCAUUUACAAAAAGCAAUUAUCUUUACUAUGGAAAAAGUCUAGAUAAAAUUCACAUUAAACUGAUGUGAAACAUGUACACCAUACUGUUGGAAGUUGGAGUGUUUUGGCAAUAUCAGCCUUCCAGUCUUAAGUGUGUGUCCCUGCAGAUGACAGGUACUUUCAUGGAGCCAUGAAGUAAAAACUAAGAGUACAACAAUUACAUUUUGGAGUUUGGUGUGUUGUGAGUGCUUAGAUCCGUUCACAUGUGAUUAGGUCCUUCUGUGUACAGUGAGAUGUCACCUGUCUACAGAACUGAACAUCACGUGGACACUUCAAGAAGGGCAAGUGAAUUUUAAAUCAAUUACUUUUUCCUCACUCUGCGAUUGCUGGCAAGUUUUGAGGCAGAACUAAGAAAGUGUACCAAGUACCGAUACCAAGCAUUAUGGAAAUCAUACAUUUUUUUCACGUUCUUCUGAGUCCUAGAUGUUCCAGUGUCCUUAUUAGGGGGAAGCUAGGUUAGAUUCUGUAGCUUUCCUGAAUGUUCAGCUUAAUGAAAAUAUUGACUGUUGAAAGUAAUACAGUUUUUAGAUGCUGAGUCUCUAAACAUGAUAACCAACACAACAUCGUGGACGCAGCAAAGACUGUUGGAGUGAAUACUGCCAUAUAAGAUGCUAAUUAAACUGGGGCUGUAUUUACCCAAAUUGUCAUGACAGGCCCAUCAGUUUCAAGUAGCACAGCUCAGUAGCACAGAGCUCAUGAUUAAAUCAGUUUAAAAUGUGCAUAAAACCAGUAUAUAUCUCAGCCCCUCAAUUAGUAUAAAUGGGAAUGGGUUACACAUGCAUAUUUUCAUAAAAUUGGAAAGUUUGUUACACCUGUAUCUAUCCAGAGAAACUCAGCACUGUUGCCUGGCUUCCUUGAAGAAAUGCCAGCCUUGCUCCCCUUCCAUUCCAAGCUGUAAUUGUGCCACACUCAUCAUUUUAGAUCGGUUCCAGUGUCAUGAUCAGCUUGGAACAUAAGGUGAGCAGAGAAAAAGCGUGCAACUCAGUAGCUUUAUUUGACAUUUUCAUUAUGCUUCAAAACUUUGAGAUAUCCUACCCUGUCAUACCCAGAUAUUUUCAUUUAGAAAGAAAUUGAUUUUACUAGAUGGCUGUAUCUGGAUGGCCCAAUGUCCUCUAAAAUAAGGCAUGCUUGGUAAACAUUUGUUUUUGCACAGAAGUAAACUCAGAAUGAAUCCCAAGGGAAACAGAAGAUAUUUAUGGGAAAAUUUGUCUAUGCAUUCUUAACCUUAGAACUUCCCUUAACUCACUCCUGAGUACACUGUGCAGCAGGGUUUCAAAAUAAAAAUGUGUAGUCUCCCAGAUUUCCUUUGGAAUACAAGUUUUAACUUAAUUACCUACAGAACUGUCUUAAAGUUAAUGCAAGAAAGCAGAGAAAAGUCUCCAGGAUGUUUGUCUUAUAACUGAUUAAUUUAAUUUUUUUUCCAUUAAAAAACAGUCUGCAAUACUCUAUAACUCUGAUGAGGUCAUGAUCAAGCAAUGUCCAUUUAUUUUAGAAUGUCAAGAUCAGUUUAACCUCAAGAUGGUGCUAGAUGGUUAAGUUGGCUGUCACAACUACUCUUGUUUGUCAUUUAAAUUUUUGCAGAAUGAAAAAGCGUCAAUAAUAUAUAAUUGGUUAAUAACCAAUAAGGAGGCAUAAAAGGACUCUUAUUAAUGUGGAUCACAUAUAUAGAUUAAUAUGUUUAUCUACCGGAGCAGGGCAUGAAUUGAUUUGAAAAGAUACGGAUUGUAUCUGCAUCUAGUGAAAAGUAGUGCUUGGAAAGAAGCAGAGUAUGCAUGAAAGUCUUUGGAAUAACGGGGAUAGGAGAUAUACAGUAUGCAGUGUGGCAUCUUACCAAGUUACGAGAACCAAAUAGUAGUCCAGGAAUAGUGGGAGUGUCAUUCUGGCAAAUUAAAUUAAUUGAAGUAUAAAGAUAAGUGGUAAAUACUUACAGCUGAAGAUUUUAAAGAAUUAUAAACUCUUUUAUUCAAAAUAAAUAGAAAGCAGAAAUGCAUUCGUUAUUCCAAAUGAAGUUGUUUUCAUACUAGAAGAUGGUUAGCCAAAUCACGGCCAUAGUAUUUAAAGUAUAACAGUGCUAUGAAUGUGCUAAGACCCUGCUAGUGCAAACACAGAGAGCUUAAUGUAACGUAGCAGUAUACUCAGAUCAGCAGGGAGAUGAGCUGCGUUAUUCUAAUGACUUCCUUAGCACAAGCAGUCGUGUAGAUGGUGUUACAGCAGAACAGAAAAUGCAGACCGCUGCUGGGGGCUUUCACUUCCGUUGUGGCACUGGGUCUGAUCUUCUAGUACAGUGAAACAGCGGUCAGAUGGCCAGAAAUUCAUGUUACAGCUUCAUUUCUUGUGGAAGAGUCACGGGAAUGAUUUUCAAAGGAGCUCUUGACCAUCGUUUUGUUACUAUUUAUUGCAAAAAAAAAAAAAAGGCACUAGGUUUGUGUAAGCUGCUCAUAAAUCAAUGUGUUGGUCGCUGCAGUGGAUCUACUCUCUUAGAAAAAAUGUUUUUCCAGCUUGAAAUGUGAGUCUGCUUGAAGAUCCCAGUUCCUGGGCAGACCCGUGGGUGUUGGAAAGCAGCAAGUCUGUCUCCUCACUCCCCCACUCAGUUAUUUUUGUUGUUGUUUCCUUUUCUUUUGUCUUUUUUAAUGCUCACUAUUUUGGCAACAAGAUUUAAUCUCUUAGAAAAGCUGCAAAAUGGGAACAAUUUAUGUGUCAAGUCAAUUUGUUUUGCACUAGGAAGGCCUUUCAAAAAGAUGUUUGUUUAAUGUAUAACCUGAUAAAUGAAUCAGCAAAAUAACAUGGGAGCUUGGGGAUGUGCAGUGACAGCUGGCUUUUUAUUUCAUUUUAUUUUUAAUUUUGAAAUUUUUAUUUUGACAGGCAUUUGUCUUGAUAUCUUCCAAUGUUUUCGUAAUUGUUUAAUGCAAGCAAUUACUAAUGAGGAUGCUGAAUCAGCCAAGACAACAUUACAGAAAUCUGAAAAGCUCUGGAAUUGAAAAGGGCCGCUUGAUCUCCUGAAAUCCCUGGAAAUUUGCCACCACGCCUUUGUAUUUAAAAGAGAAGAUUUUGCUGUCCCUCUCAUUUGUAAACCUGGAAUGACAUAAAUGAACACACUGAUGCCUAUACUGCUCAAAGGCUUAGUUUCUUUAGGGUUUAUAUAAUGCAUUUCUUGGAGAGAAAGAGUCAGCUAAAUGUAGUUGUUUGGUGUUUUUUUAUAAAGCAGAGAAAUGGAAGCUGGAUUGUGUCCUACCCACAGAUUUCUAUCAGAUACAGAUAAAAGUAUAAAUAGCCUGGGAGACAGUGUCCUCUUAAAUGACCAUCCUAAGGUUACUGGGGCUUUUGGAGAAGAUUUUUCUUGCCUAGGCAGCUAUAAAGAAACUGAAAGUUGAUUUAAGUUUUUAUUAUAGGGAAAUCAAAUUCUACAUCACUUACAUUCAGUAUUUAAGCAGGGCAAAUGUUUUAUGUUUAAUUUUAGAAAACUGUUCAGAAGGAAAUAACACACCGGUCAUCUCAGUUAUCCAAAAAUUGAUUUUAAAAUGUAUUUCAAAAGGGAAAUAAAUGGCAUUUUUUAGAGCAGUGGGGAAAUGAACAUACUAUGAUUUUUUUUUCAUUAUAUUCCAGCGUGACUUUCCAGCUGACAGAAGGAGAGAGCCAGUAAUAAAAUUCAUGCUUACAUGGUUCAGGAUUAAUCAAGGGGAGAGCUAAGGAUCCUUCCAGGAGCAGUCUCGGAGGUGCAUCCUGCUGAGAUGUGGAGGAUGAAUGUUUGCACCGACCUCUGCUGCACGAAGAUGAGAGCCAGCAGCUGGAUCUCCAUAUGGAGGAUUGAAGUUUUUGCAUUAAAGAAGGAAAUCUUUCCAGCAACUCUUUUGGCAGGUUUCAUUGCUUCAGUCUACUUUGAAAACAAGGUCUUUGGAACAUCCUUUGGAACAAAACAAAUUUCAGCAGUGAACAUUGGUCAAGUGGAGCAGAACGUAAUUUAGAGAUACUUACACUGAGAUAAAAAGACCAAAAAAAAAUUGUCCAGUGCUACUCCAUGGAAAACAGACACGAAUACCUCAGUUCUCAGUCUGCUGACCAUGCUGCGACAAGAACUGAUCCAAAGCUCAUUGAAUUACAAAGAAAAAAUCCCAUCCAUGUCACUGGAGUUUGCAUCAAACCUGAACUGUCAACAGACGACUACUAAGUUACAGAUUAUUUUCAAAAGCACACCUGAUUGAUUAAAAGAGGAAAGCUGUUCUUAAACUUCCAAAGGUUUGUAAUAACUCUUAUUGCAUUUUUUAAAAAUAUUUUGGAGACUUUAUAAUUGAAGAUAAAGUGUAUACAUCAGUGUUGAACCUCGUAACUCUGUCAUCUUUUACCAUAUGUGAACUGCCCUCCCAGAGCAUGUCUACAAUGACAGUGUUAGUUGUAACUAACUGCCCAUGAUCUGGGCAUUUCAUCCCCAGAACAGAAACCAGCACAAACAAUAGAUGCAGACCAGCAGGCUACCACCCACCAAGGCUGAUGUCCUGCCCAAGAACAUGGCCUAUACUAAUAAUGGGGGUGGACCAGCAAAGUGCCAGCUGCAGAAAACAAUGUCCAGCCCAUGAAUGGAGGCUGUCUGAAUAAAUGGGUGAGGACAGGCAACUUGCCAUCCUCGCAGAACAAUGUCCAGACCAAGAACAACAACUGACAGAAAUAACAGGCACAGCCCACCAAGGUGCCACCUGCAGAGGAUGACUUCAAGCCCAUGGACAUGGAACAACCAGAAGACAAGUUCCAGCUGAGGUUAGUGGGGCCUCCUCCAGCAAGACUGGCAAUGUCCCACUGCAAUGCUGGGCCUGGGAUGGGCCCCAGGAAACACAGGCCACACCAUUUCAGGAGGCCCUGGGAUGAGUUCAUGCCUCAGCCUGGGCCCAGGUCCUUGCUCAAGAAGCCACCCAGAAGACAGGAGAGAGCCCAGAAAGAUGGACAUCCCACAGGUGGGAAGCACAGCCGGCCUGCACUUGACUCCCACCAGCAGUAAUACAAAAGUGAACUUUAAAGUGUUGCUUGAGGCCGCCUUCUCCAUCCCACACUGCACCCCCAGUCAGUUAGGGAGACCGUGGAGGGGACAUCUCUCCUGCACACCGCCCCAUGGAUAGGAGAGGGGACGAGAGGAGAGGGCCUCUUAUGCCUAAGCCAUCAGCAGGAAAGUGAUGUAUAUGUAAUCUGUUCUUUCAUAGGUAUAUACCCAACCCACUUACCUGAUCAUUGAAUUACUCUGUUGACAAACAAAUAAAUAAAAAUAAAUUAUUUGAUUCUUUUAAUAUUUUUUACAUUAUCUUCCUCUGAAAUUGUGCAAAGAAUGGAUCUUGUUUUGGUGGAUCAUAUAUGUUUCUAAAGCCAUACUGUAAUUUAUUUUCAUAGUUUUUAGUUCUUUUAGCCAUCUUCUUAACAUUGGUAAAUUUCAAAUUAUUUUAUGGUUUAUAAUUUGAGUAAGUGACAUUAUUUUUUGAACCUGUGCAGUGGAACUUACUUAGGUCCUUUUUCCAAACUCAUGAGUUACCAUUAUUUCCCCCAGACUUUCUCACUAUGUGUUUCCUCAGCUGGGCAGUGCAGCUAGCUCAGUACCUCCCUGUUUUCUGUUUUCCAGGAAAGAAAUUGGAGUUUCUAAAUUAUCAGUAUAUACUGGCUGUCCUAUUUCAAUACACGUACUUCAUUGUUCCACAGAUUAUAUUUUUUUCUCAUAGUUUUACCUAAAAAGCCAAAUAUUUUGGAGAACAUCCUCAGAAUAUUCAGAGGAUGUUCUGAAGAUCCUUUCUGAGACUACUACCAUCUUACAGUUGCCUUAGCUUUAGCCCCACUAAGGCUCUUCUGCAUGAGCUUUUCUAGGGAGAAGUGUGUUUGUUGGUAUGCGUAACAGUGCGUGUAUACUUAAGUGUCUUGCAACUGCUGCCAAAAAAAAAAGUGGAAGUGAAGAGUGGAAAUCAUAAUUUUGAUAAAGUUUUGGGCUUCCUGCCAGACAUGGUAAGUACUACUACCUACAUAAGGACAAAAAACAGAGGCUAAUGUAGUGGCCACACUGAGUGUUCAGUCUGCCUCUGUGGUCACCAACUGGAGGAGGAGGAGACUAGUGCCUGGCUAAUGGGUGCCUCAGGCAUCCAGGUAUCCCCCAUCACUGCCUGCUCCAGGCCUGAUGGCAUCAGUCUACCCACCACUUUUCCAGUUUACUUCAAUACUUCCUGAAAAUGUCUUUAAUGGUUGACUUUGUUCUUUAAAGUAUUGC